ACUGAUUCUGUCUCUGUCAAGGGGGUGUGAGCAAUAGGAGCCCCUGGUUGCAGGGUGGCUGCCCCAGGAAGCACCCAGAACAGCUCCCAACUUCCCUAAGCCUCUGGGUAGGGCUAGGUCCUUAGGUGCCAUGGGCAGCCUGGGUGGGUUUCUGGGAGCUGUCAGCAUCUGUGGUUCCUGGGGCUGUGGGGAGCUGACUCCUUCCUGUGCCCCCCCAACUGGCCUUUCCUUUGUCCUUCCCCUGUUGGAGGCCCCAAGCCUGAUUUGGGGCUCUCUCUCCCCUUCUCUGUCCUCUGUUCCUAUCCAGUCCUGGUGGCCACUGUUCCUCCCCUGACCUGGGAGCCCUGGGGGUCAGAGCCCUGGGCGUCAGCAUCCGGGAGCAGAUGCCAGGACCUGGCUCAGGGCUCAGGUUCAGAGACAACUCUUUCCCGGGGCUGAAGGAAGCUCCAUAGGCCAGGUGCAUGGAGUGGAGUCCAUGUGAGGACAGCAUUAUCACAGAGAAAUGGUCACGAGUCAGGCAGCUCCCAGAACUGGAGCAGGUGCUGAGGACCCCUCUCCAUGACAGGUGCCACAGCAUUGCUGGACAACAGGAAGUGAGGUGGGGCGAUCAGCACCGGGGCUCCAGUUCAGUCCCCACACCUGCCAGUCGAGCACCUCUUACUAUUUAAUUGCUCACAGCCUAAUUAGUGAACUGGAUACAGGGCCUUGUGCUUCAGCCACAGCACAGUGCCUGGAUGAAGCCAUCUGAGUUGGGUCUUUGGGCUCAGUGUAUGUCCCUUAUCCAGUCCGUGGCUUCCCAUGAAUUUUAUUUAACAUCUGGUAAGGCUUCCCGUGAGGUUGUCUUCUGUCUAGAGGUAGAAAGAGGUGGCUGGGUGACGUUUAAUUGAAUUCUGAAAUCGGAAUACAAAGCCUUGUUUUAGAAACUCCGUUCUGUGACUCUGGUUGACCCUGGCUGGUGUACUGGGACGGUUGUUCCGGACAACCAAUGACUGGAUCUGGGGAGGCAGGGGGAGCCGGAAACAGGGUGGAGCCUCAGAGCACCUGCAGGUGCUGA
rnacentral:lncRNA from 1 species